rnacentral:rRNA from 1 species
UACGGAGGGCGCGAGCGUUAAUCGGAAUUACUGGGCGUAAAGCGCGCGUAGGCUGUUGAGUAAGUUGGGGGUGAAAUCCCACGGCUCAACCGUGGAACAGCCCUUGAUACUGCGCGACUUGAAUCCGGGAGAGGGUGGCGGAAUUCCAGGUGUAGGAGCGAAAUCCGUAGAUAUAUGGAGGAACACCGGUGGCGAAAGCGGCUCUCUGGCCUGUAACUGACACUGAGGCUCGAAAGCGUGGGGAGCAAACAGG